rnacentral:rRNA from 1 species
UACGGAGGAUCCGAGCGUUAUCCGGAUUUAUUGGGUUUAAAGGGUGCGCAGGCGGAAGAUUAAGUCGGCGGUGAAAUUUUGCAGCUCAACUGUAAAAGUGCCUUCGAAACUGGUUUUCUUGAGUGUGGAUGAAGUAGGCGGAAUUUGUGGUGUAGCGGUGAAAUGCAUAGAUAUCACGAGGAACUCCGAUUGCGCAGGCAGCUUACUAAGCUACAACUGACGCUCAUGCACGAAGGCGUGGGGAUCAAACAGGAUUAGAUA